rnacentral:lncRNA from 1 species
CAGACAGUAAAUCCUCCUGGCAGCCUUGAGCUCUCUCAGGCAGGCGUUUUAAUGGAGAACUGGGGUCAUCCUAGGGACACAGCCUUAUGCUGCUGGAAGCCAUGCUAGAUUUGGUCGUCUCUCAGUGCAGAGGUUUGAACGGAGUCGUGCUGUGCCGAGCGUUCUACAGUUCUCAGGGGUCACUGGACAGAUCAGAGAAAACAAGAAGAGCGAGGUCAGCAGUCUGAAGCUACGUCACAGUCAUUCAAUCUGUGCUCCCUGUGUACCUUCAUACCGUCCACAAGGCUCCUCACCAUCUCCGUCUGGGCUGCUAUCUCUUCCAUCAACAGGUAUGUCAUCCUGGUGCAACCAUGAUGAGAUCAGGAAAAGGAGGAAUAUAGCCAGAAGCAGAGAAAUGCUGCCGCUGAGCGGGUCUACUCUCAUUGCUGCCAAGACAGAAAAUUCUGCCCAGAUUUGGGCUACUGUAUGUCCACUUGGGGAACCAGGGAGACUCACCCCAUAUUGAGCGGAGAGCGAUGGACAAUGGUUUACCACUAGUCAAGUGAAGCUGGUAAAGACCAACACCAUGGCUAUUGAGAGGACCACGGGAUACGAUGCUUGUAAUUCAUGAAACACAGUAUGGCAGUCACUCCAGGACCAUGGAAAUCAGAGAAUUACACAGGGCAUCUGUGUAAAUGUCACAGGCUAUUUUACCAUGGUUAUCAACUGGGAGACAUACAUGAUUCCAGGGGGCCACCUGCAAGCUAAGUCCAUGGGACAGUGUACAGAGACAUUUUGUUGCAAAGACAAAAAAAGAUAACGCUACACAUCACUGCAUGCUCAACUGACCCAUAGAAACACAUGGUUAAAAAAAUAAAAGAAACAGUUGGAAAGAAGAAUGAAAGGCAAGGAGUUUGAUGUAUCCACAGCAGGACCUUGCUUUGAAGUUGAACAUCCAGUAUAGC